GAUGAACGCUGGCGGCGUGCCUAAUACAUGCAAGUCGAGCGAACGGACGAGAAGCUUGCUUCUCUGAUGUUAGCGGCGGACGGGUGAGUAACACGUGGAUAACCUACCUAUAAGACUGGGAUAACUUCGGGAAACCGGAGCUAAUACCGGAUGAUAUUUUGAACCGCAUGGUUCAAAAGCGAAAGACGGUCUUGCUGUCACUUGUAGAUGGAUCCGCGCUGCAUUAGCUAGUUGGUAAGGUAACGGCUUACCAAGGCAACGAUGCAUAGCCGACCUGAGAGGGUGAUCGGCCACACUGGAACUGAGACACGGUCCAGACUCCUACGGGAGGCAGCAGUAGGGAAUCUUCCGCAAUGGGCGAAAGCCUGACGGAGCAACGCCGCGUGAGUGAUGAAGGUCUUCGGAUCGUAAAACUCUGUUAUUAGGGAAGAACAUAUGUGUAAGUAACUGUGCACAUCUUGACGGUACCUAAUCAGAAAGCCACGGCUAACUACGUG
rnacentral:rRNA from 1 species